GUACACGCUGUGACUAGCAUAUCAAUAAGCGGAGGAAAAGAAACUAACAAGGAUUCCCCUAGUAACGGCGAGUGAAGCGGGAAGAGCUCAAAUUUGAAAUCUUAAAGGGUUUCCCUUUACGAAUUGUAGUUUAAAGAAGUGUUUUCUGUUGAGGUUUUGGUAAAAGUUCUUUGGAAUAGGACAUCAUAGAGGGUGAGAAUCCCGUAUUUGACCUUUACUUUCAACUUUGUGAUACACUUUCAAAGAGUCGGAUUGUUUGGGAAUGCAGUCCAAAAUGGGUGGUAAAUUUCAUCUAAAGCUAAAUAUUGGCGAGAGACCGAUAGCGAACAAGUACCGUGAGGGAAAGAUGAAAAGAACUUUGAAAAGAGAGUUAAACAGUACGUGAAAUUGUCAAAAGGGAAGCGUUUGACACCAGUGUUGUUUUUCUGAAAAUCAAUUAAAGAACUGUUUAUGCUAAGCUGUUUAGACUUUAUCAGCUAUCUGUUUAGUUUUGAGCUUUUCUUUAAUGCACUUUUCAGUUAACAAGUCAACAUCAAUUUCUUUUGCUGUAAAAAAGCUUGAGGAAGGUGGCUUGAGAUUCGUCUUAAGUGUUUAUAGCCUCUUGCCUAUGCAGUCGGAGAGAUUGAGGUCUGCAGCGUAGAUCCUUCGGGGCUAAAUGCAUUUGUGCUAAGUUAUAGCAUUUUAUAGACAACUUGUUGACUAUGAUUUGUCUUGUAGCUUACUCGCUUAUGUUAUUUUACCUACGCUUAGGAUGUGACUGAUAUGUAGUCGUA
rnacentral:rRNA from 1 species